rnacentral:lncRNA from 1 species
GCCAAAUUGGCAACAUAUGGUACAGGUAUUGUGCAAAUUUGGCAUCAUUAACAAUGAAAAAAAUCCAGAGUCACUUAUACAACCGUUGCUUACAGUGAGCCAUAACUGCAUGCCAGCAUAUUAAUGUCACCAAAAGACAUGAUAAACAAAAGUUUAAAAUACAUAUAUAUAUAAAUACUUGAUAAAAUAUAAAAAUGUAUAUCAAUAUGGUAAAUGCUUAUCUUAGAUGAAGGUGAUCCAGUAACUGUACUUCUAUAAAAAAUAAGAAUGACAAUAACAUUCGUUUUUCGGCUAUUUUAGGGCUCCGUUGCCAACUCAUUUAAAGGAACUUAGGGCAGGAUCACGAAAUAAGACUCAAUAGCGACACGACGGCCGUUUGGGUAACUGCAGCCAUCAGCCAAGCCGGCGCGGGAGCGUGCAUGAACUCUUCACAGCAGUGCAGCUGAUGCUGUGACACGGUUAAUUGUUUGCUCACUGUUCACGCGACCAUUUACUGCAAGACUUCCUCGCAUACCUCCGCGGAACUACCUUGGUAGCCUACAUCAGCGAACAGCAUGAUUUCAAGAGACGAAGAUUUGGAAUUGACUCUGGAAGGAGUGGCACACAUGGAGAUGUACUGCCUGGAUGAGGGUACACUGCGUCUGGUUAGGAUGACGUGGAACAACAUCUUUGCUCUCGAGGACAGCCAAGAUGUGGGCAGCGAUAACCGAGAGUUUCGGUUUGCUUCCUACCGGCGAUUUACGAUCUGGCAGGAUGGGCAUCAGAGAAGAGGGAACUGAAGGCCGAUACCAAGCUGCUGUGUUCUUCGUAUCUGGUUAAACUUCCCUGACCCCUUUGCAAACUACACAGGUUACAAAGAAGCUCCGUUUAGGGUGCCUGACUGAUAUUUUCUCCUGUUUUGUGUCCCUGUGACCACAAUACCUAAAAAAAAAAACAAUUUCUUAGCCAAAGAUUCCACUUUCAUCCAAAAAUAAAAACUAUUUAUGUACAUUAUAUAUUUUUAUAUUUAUUUUCAAAGUUUACAGUAUUUUUCAAAUUUGCAGUAUGUACAAAGUUUUAUUUUGUAUUUUUUUUACAUGUUUAUAAUAAAAUAAAUGUGUGGUAAACAAGACGGUCUUGUCUUCUCUCUUUUCUUGCUCACGUCUCUGGAUCAUGUAGCUGAGGCCUUUGUGGAGAGAAGAGAACAGUAGCGUUAGAAUACAUACCAAUGCUCCAUAAUCAAAACUGGUAAUUAUUAUGUUAUAUUAUAACAUUUUACAAUGUUUUGUCUAUAUUCUGAAAAGAUUGAAAUUCCUAAUGACCAAAACUUAGAAAGUGAAAACAUACUAACCCCUCAGACACUGGUUCAAUUGGUGAUAAUCGAUGAGAGAGUUUAGCAGCUGUUCGCUUGCUGGGUGUUGAUGCUCUCAUCUCCUUACUUCCCCGAGUAGCAGCUUCAGGAGUCUGCUUCUUCUGAUAGCUGGAAAACAGCAAUAUUUUAAAAAGUUAGAGUCUCAGUCAGCAAGCUGGCUGUGACUUUGCUACCUUGGUGUCUUUUCUCUUUGGUCAGAACAACUAUGGCCAUGCAUGUUUGCCUGUAACAAUAAUAAUAUCAAAAUACUUGCCUCAGUCAGUACUAUUGUGUGUUUCACUUUUACAAACAAUUUCUCCUGCUUUACUUACAACGUAAUGUAUAAUGUCUGGAACAAUCUUGUGUGUAAGGUACAACACGAGGAAAAUAAAGGCUAAAAGCUCUAUUGAUGAGUUGAGACCACUCUUUUAGCCCACCCACCCCAAAGGACUCAACCACACAGAUGUGCUUCACAAGCAAGGUCGUAAUAAUAAUAACAAUAAUAAUAACUUUAUCAGACCUGUAGACACGCACAAUAUCAAUUAUUAUAUAGCACCACCUGAGCUCUUUUACAUUGUGCACUUCACGGUUAGCUCUAAACUGCCUUUUCUUCAGCUAGCUACAUCACAACAGUAUCAUCAACUCGUCAACACAAUAGCCCCCAAGCCAUAGCCUGUAAAUACCGUUACUGUACACCCCAAAUACUGUAUUUACCAGGGACAGGAACGAGACGGGAGCUGGUGCUGUGUGUAUGAUAUAUUUCACUGUACAGAUUGUAAAGCCCACUGAGGCAAUGUGAUUGUGAUUUUGGGCUAUAUAAAUAAAAUUGACUUGAUAGCCGUAUCCCCUACACUCACGGAGCAGCCGGGAAGCCGGCUCGCUGUGUAUAGCUAGCGGCUAAUAUGACUACAUAGACCCAAACAAACCGUUAGCCUGUUGCUACAGCCAGCUGCUAACGUCACCUCCCAGAUACAAGUUGGGCUUUCGGUCCCAUAUCUAAAAGGGCAUAUUUCUAACUAUUCGGUUUCAGACUGAAGGACCCUGGAAAAUGGCAGUCUGUAACUUCUCAGGGUUA